UACGGGGGGAGCAAGCGUUGUUCGGAUUUACUGGGCGUAAAGGGCGCGUAGGCGGCCAGCACAAGUCAGUUGUGAAAUCUCCGAGCUUAACUCGGAACGGUCAACUGAUACUGUGCGGCUAGAGUGCGGAAGGGGCAACUGGAAUUCCAGGUGUAGCGGUGAAAUGCGUAGAUAUCUGGAGGAACACCGGUGGCGAAGGCGGCAUCCUGGACCGAGAUUGACGCUGAGGCGCGAAAGCCAGGGGAGCAAACGGG
rnacentral:rRNA from 1 species